CAGCCGCCGCGGUAAUACGGAGGGUGCGAGCGUUAAUCGGAAUUACUGGGCGUAAAGAGUGCGUAGGUGGUUAAUUAAGUUAUCUGUGAAAUUCCUGGGCUUAACCUGGGCAGGUCAGAUAAUACUGGUUAACUCGAGUAUGGGAGAGGGUAGUGGAAUUUCCGGUGUAGCGGUGAAAUGCGUAGAUAUCGGAAGGAACACCUGUGGCGAAAGCGGCUCACUGGACCAUAACUGACGCUGAGGCACGAAAGCUAGGGGAGCAAACAGGAUUAGAUACCCGCGUAGUCCCUGUCUCUUAUAC
rnacentral:rRNA from 1 species